UGGAGCCACUAGGAUCUCGUUCAAGGCUGGUCCACCUCACACGAAUCCUACCCCAUGGGCGCUGGGAAGACAGGGUUUUGAACAUGUUGCAGACUGGUCUCAAACUCCCAAACUCCUGAGCUCAAGCAAUCCCAGCUCAAGCUUGGUGGCUCUAAACAGUUCUGUUCAAGGGAGCUCUUCUCAGCCAGGCCUUCAUCUUUCUUCCAUGUUGGAUGCUUCCUGACCUUGAAAAUUGGACUCCAAGUUCUUUAGCUUUUGGACUGGGACUUACACCAGUGGUUUGCCAGGAGCUCUCAGGCCUUCGGCCACAAACUGAAGGCUGCACUGUUGGCUUCCCUACUUUUGAGGUUUUGGGACUCGGACUGGCUUCCUCGCUCCUCAGCUUGCAAACAGCCGGUUGUACGACUUUACUUUGUGAUUGUGUGAGUCAAUAGUCCUUAAUAAACUCCCUUUCCUAUAUA
rnacentral:lncRNA from 10 species